AUGCCUCCACGCCGGCGAGGGGUGCUGGUGCUAGCUGCACCCACGCCUCCCCCACCCCAGCAGCUUGCGCCGACCAUUCGCGAGGAAAUCCCAGAGAUCCUGCGGUUGAUUUCUCCGGUCCCGCAGGCGGUGUUCAUGGCGUCCAAAGCCGUGGGGUGGGCGAAGCGCGCGUCCAGGAUCCGGGACUCUACCUUCGAGUGGAUCCGGUGCGUGCAGGAGUGGAGGAUGGCGGAUCGGGCGGUUGUGGAGGCGACCACACCAGAGAUGAGAUCUGCGGCCAUGAGGGUCGCCGAGAUCCAACGAAGAAGGGCGGAUGUGGAGCAAAGGAUGCCCCCAUUUCCUUCUUCCCCGCUGGCCGAAUUCAUGGUUUGGGCGAGGGCGGAAGCAAAAUCAGAAGAGCCACGACAAGCCCUCCGAUGGGAGUGCAUCCUCGGCGUGAUUCCGUCGAGCGCCUGA
rnacentral:rRNA from 1 species